GGUCAGUGAUGUCAUGUAAAAGGUCUGAACCUCAGUUCUCCCCUGGCCAUGGUAACUCCCAGCAGCCCCUGCUGUGCUCCCAUCAUGCUCUAGUGAUGCAGUGGUGGUCACAGGAGCUGCUGACAAACAGGAUGUGACAUCACAGUGUGAGUCUGUACAGAGAUCCUACAGACUCAGUGUGAUGAUGAUCAACGUCCAACAGAACCAAUCAACAAGGAGUAUCAGGCCGAGAAGGCGGGGCCUGAGCGCUGAUCUCACUCUUCUACUGAGACC